UGCAGAAUAACUUCAUGUCAAUACAAAUCAUACAUCACAAUGAGGAUCUAAGAGGACAAGUGAGUGGGGGAAGGGUGAAAAGAAAAAGAAAGAAGAGAAUAUGCGUCACAUGUAAGAAAAAACACAUACGCAGGGGACUAGAAGACAUAGUUUAUUUAAGAUACCACUGCAUAUCUAUACUAUUUAUUAGUAUAUAAAAACCUCUUUUCAUUAGUAUUCUAUGAGCGCCAAAGUAGCUCACAUUCAUUGUUCUCCUCUUAUAAAUUGUGAUGAGAGAGAGAGAGAGUAUUAAAUUAGGAAUAAGUUAUAUUUUAAAUACCUAGGCCUAGCUAUCAGUAGAAAAAUAGAAAGAAGAGAAAAAUAUGUAUUCAAUGUUAUAAUUCACCAAUUAUAUUAAGGCCUAUUAUAGGCAAAACCUAGAAGAUGAUGAGCUAAGCAAUGACCUCAUCAUCAUCAACAAAGUCUACCAAAUGGGCUAGCAAGGCACAAUGGUGACUCAAAUCUUCAACAAUGUUAUGCUUCCUAACAUUGUAGGAAUACCUAACAUAGGCUACCUAACAUGUGUAAAGGAUACUUUUAUUUCCCAACCACUCCCCUCAAGCGGGGCGAAAAUAUCCCCGAGACCAAGCUGCUAAGGAAGUUUUCAACAAUGUUGCUACCUAACAUUGUAGGAAAGAAACCACAUAAGCUCUAGGAGCAGCAGGGGUGGAAGCUCCAGAUAGGUUGCGUAGCUCCAAAAGGCAGCAAAGGUGCUGCAGGAAGCGCCAAAAGGCAGCAAAAUGUGCUGCAGGAAGCCAGCAAAUUUGCUGCAGGAAGCUCCAAAAGGCAGCAAGGUGCUGGCAGGAAGCUCCAGGAGCUGCAGAAAGUUCCAGGAAGGAAAAAAAAUCCAACACGCUCCCGCACGUGUGGUAUAUGCCAAACACGCGGAUUACGGAAAAUAGGGAAACGUGAGAACAAAUAUGGUUUGGAAAAAUCCAACACUCUCCCUAGCACGUGUGGCAUACGCUAACACGCGAAUUAACGGAAUAGGAAAACGUGAGAAUGACCAUAUCUGGGGCAGCAAGGUUGCAACAGACAGCCCGGGGCAGCACGGGCUGCAAGUUGGCAAUAAGGGGUUGCAAGGAGCAACAAGGGGCAGCAAUACAACCCAGCAGCAAGAGGCUGCAAGGAGGCAACAAGGGGCUGAAACACCCAACACAAUAAUUCCGGUCGACGGCAGAGCCGCCGGCCAGCCGUCGGAAGCGGACCAAGACCGAGCUUUGCUCUGAUACCAAGUAGAAAAAUAGAAGAAGAGCAAAAUAUGUAUUCAAUGUUAUAAUUCACCAAUUACAUAAGGCCUAUUUAUA
rnacentral:lncRNA from 1 species